rnacentral:rRNA from 1 species
UACGUAGGUGGCAAGCGUUGUCCGGAUUUAUUGGGCGUAAAGGGCGCGCAGGCGGUUCGUUAAGUUCGAGGUGAAAUCUCCUGGCUCAACUGGGAGGGGUCUUCGGAUACUGGCGGACUUGAGGAGAGCAGAGGUGAGUGGAAUUCUGGGUGUAGUGGUGAAAUGCGUAGAUAUCCAGAGGAACACCGGUGGCGAAGGCGGCUCUCUGGAACGGUACUGACGCUGAGACGCGAAAGCGUGGGGAGCGAACAGG